UACGGAGGGUGCAAGCAUUAAUCGGAUUUAUUGGGCGUAAAGGGCGCGUAGGCGGGGAUGUAAGUCAGAUGUGAAAUCCCGGAGCUCAACUCCGGAACAGCAUUUGAAACUGCUUCUCUUAGAGGGUAGGCGGAGAAAAUGGAAUUCCACAAGUAGCGGUGAAAAUGCGUAGAUAUGUGGAAGAAACACCAGUGGCGAAGGCGGUUUUCUAGCUUAUUCCUGACGCUAAAGCGCGAAAAGAAGGGGAUCAAACAGG
rnacentral:rRNA from 1 species